GACGAACGCUGGCGGCGUGCCUAAUACAUGCAAGUUGAGCGCUGAAGGUUGGUACUUGUACCGACUGGAUGAGCAGCGAACGGGUGAGUAACGCGUGGGGAAUCUGCCUUUGAGCGGGGGACAACAUUUGGAAACGAAUGCUAAUACCGCAUAAAAACUUUAAACACAAGUUUUAAGUUUGAAAGAUGCAAUUGCAUCACUCAAAGAUGAUCCCGCGUUGUAUUAGCUAGUUGGUGAGGUAAAGGCUCACCAAGGCGAUGAUACAUAGCCGACCUGAGAGGGUGAUCGGCCACAUUGGGACUGAGACACGGCCCAAACUCCUACGGGAGGCAGCAGUAGGGAAUCUUCGGCAAUGGACGAAAGUCUGACCGAGCAACGCCGCGUGAGUGAAGAAGGUUUUCGGAUCGUAAAACACUGUUGGCAGAGAAGAACGUUGGUGAGAGUGGAAAGCUCAUCAAGUGACGGUAACUACCCAGAAAGGGACGGCUAACUACGUG
rnacentral:rRNA from 1 species